GAGAGCACAGUACGAUGAAAGUUGUAAGCUGUGUUCGGGGGGGAGUUAUUGUCUAUCGUUGGCCUCUAUGGUAGAACCCGUCGGGGAGGCCUGAGAGGCGGUGGUUUACCCUAU
rfam:Oryza sativa Indica Group cultivar 93-11 Ctg050111, whole genome shotgun sequence.